rnacentral:rRNA from 1 species
UACGUAGGGGGCAAGCGUUGUCCGGAUUUAUUGGGCGUAAAGAGCGUGUAGGCGGCUUUACAGGUCCGUUGUGAAAACUCGAGGCUCAACCUCGAGACGCCGGUGGAAACCGUAAGGCUAGAGUCCGGAAGAGGAGAGUGGAAUUCCUGGUGUAGCGGUGAAAUGCGCAGAUAUCAGGAGGAACGCCCGUGGCGAAAGCGGCUCUCUGGGACGGUACUGACGCUGAGACGCGAAAGCGUGGGGAGCGAACAGG